rnacentral:rRNA from 1 species
GGAAUUGACGGGACCCGCACAAGCGGUGGAUGAUGUGGAUUAAUUCGAUGCAACGCGAAAACCUUACCCACCUUUGACAUGUACGGAACCCUUUAGAGAUAGAGGGUGCUCGAAAGAGAGCCGUAACACAGGUGCUGCAUGGCUGUCGUCAGCUCGUGUCGUGAGAUGUGGGUUAAGUCCCGCAACGAGCGCAACCCUUGUCAUUAGUUGCUACAUUCAGUUGGGCACUCUAAUGAGACUGCCGGUGACAAGCCGGAGGAAGGUGGGGAUGACGUCAAGUCCUCAUGGCCCUUAUAGGUGGGGCUACACACGUCAUACAAUGGCUGGUACAAAGGGUUGCCAACCCGCGAGGGGGAGCCAAUCCCAUAAAGCCAGUCGUAGUCCGGAUCGUAGUCUGCAACUCGACUACGUGAAGUCGGAAUCGCUAGUAAUCGUGGAUCAGAAUGUCACGGUGAAUACGUUCCCGGGUCUU